ACAUUCUGCACUCUUAUGAACCAAUUAUUCAAAGAGUAUUUGGAUAAGUUUGUGGUCGUCUACUUGGGACGAUAUUGUCGUCUACAGCGAAACGCUCGAGGAGCAUGUCAAGCACUUUUGGUACACAUCUGAAGCCAAUAUGUAUGCAUUGGUUUGGUGUAUCUUAACUUUUGGUGCACAUCUGAAGCCAAUAUGUAUGCAUUGGUUUGGUGUAUCUUAAUUUUCCACUGAGAUUUUUAUUGUCAAGUUAAAUUUUCGUGCGCAUGUGAUGAUAUUAGUUUAGUGGCACUAAGUUGCACUUUAAUCUGUUCUUCAGGCUGUACAUAAAGCAGCCUUCUUCCAGCACAUCAAUUGCAGGAUAUGAUGAUGAACCUGAAUGGGCGAAGUAUAAGAUCAAAGAGACAAAUAUGUUUACCAUCGACAAGUAUCAACAGGUGCUAUUUUAUUAUCUAGAUGGAGUUUGCCUCUUAAUAGCAGGUGAAGUAAUAAUAUUAGUGAAUUUGCAGAUUGGAUUCUUCCCAAGAGAGAAAGCAUUUUCUCUUAGGUACCAAACUGCUGGUAUGCUGGAAACUGUUCUAAGAGCAGGUGUGCUUGGAGAAGAUGACACUGGUGAAGAAUCUCCCAAGUAAUUUCCUCUUGUACAGAGUUUUGCUCUCUUAGACUAGAUUUUGCAAUUUGAGGUUUCAUGUCAAUUGAAUCUUCUCUUUUGUAUGUGGAUGUUUGCAUGGUAAACACUCUCGCAAGCAUCGUCUAAAUCAAAACUCUUUAAUUUGUUCACUUUGGGUACUUGGAAUUUCUCUAUAUGAUAACACUGGUUUCUGUUUUUUCAUAAGAAAUGACAGAUUUAUCUCUGAACGAGGCGAUAAGAAUCGCAUGGCAGUGAUAUUCCAAACUUACUCACGAAUUCCAUUCUCAAUUAUAUUGGCAUAGAGUUUAUAGUCUCAAAGGUCUUCUUCAGCUGCUAGUGCAUGAUGGGACUGGAAGAUAUUGAUGGUCAUAUCUUUCAUGUUUGCAGAAACUUGAAGAUUCCUUCAAAAUGGCCUUCUGUUGUCUGUGAAAAUUGUCUAUAUUCUCUGGAGAACAAGAGCUUUCCACAUAAUGGAUCCAAAGGGCAUUCUUGAAAUGCUUGUUAUUUUUAUUGAAGAACAAGGAAAUGAGAUGCCUGCUUUUUCAACUUGGAAUUCAGAGGUCAGUGUAUGCCGCCACCUUUUUGCUAAAAAAAAUACCAUUACAUCUUGUGACAAUUAUAAUGCUUAUAUCACUAAACAUUUAUGUUGUACGUUUAGUUCCUAGCAACAGUGGACGGCAUUGAGAAUGAAACUAUCUCGAACAACAUCGUUCGAUACAUCAUUCCAGUGGGUUAUCUCCCUUUUAUCUAGAUUUUUAACAUGAUAACUUACAGGACUUCCCAGAUCGAAUAGCUCCAUGGCUUGGUCGAUGGGAAGGUCAUUCUAUGACAAAACAUAGUGGUGUAUAUGGAGCAACGAUUGCAAUAAAGGUCGUUUAAUUCAGGUGCGCUUGUCUGAAUGCCAACUAUUGCAUCCUACAAAAUUGUAAAUGUUGGAUUCUAUUUCCUGUCAUAUUAAGGUAGACAUGUACUUACUCGAUAAGAGGAAGCACAACAUAGUGUUAAAAGCUCUAAUUUUCUUUUCUGAUGUUUCAGCAAGAGCAAUCUUUGACACCAUAUCAUAGUUACCUUUAGAUUUUUACCAGUUAUCAUAUCAUCUCUGAGCCUUGCGCAUGUUUCCUAAGAAUGUUGUAUAUCCUUCAAAACUGACUCAACUUUGGUGAAAUUUAAUCCAGAUUCAGACUGCAGAAUAUGUCAGCCUGUCUAAUGAUAUUCUACUUUUCGUAAAAUGAGUACAUAAUUUCUUGUUUGUUGCAAAUUACAAACUUCCUCUGUAUGUAAGAUUCAUAUCAAGUGUUACUUUUGUGACAAUUUGCACCAUCAAAUACAAAGACUAUUGCUAUUAGAUAAUGAAGAUUAGUUCUCUUCGGUGGAUACUAACUGAUCUAGUUCCUCCAGGACACAACUUCGACAAACAAUGAGAGUGGCACUGCAGGCACGAUAAGCAACAACUUGGUGGUGCCCUUUGAUGGAGGCUUCCAGCUGACCUUAUUACCUGGAGGAAUGUAUAUGGGAUGCCCGUGUGACAUUGGGAAGAAUGUAGUCCAAUCACAAUCAUUCCAUCUCGAAUUAUGUUGGAUGGAAUCACCGGAGAAGCGGCAGAAGCUCGUGCCAACUUACGAUGUGGAAGGCCUUGUAGUGUCAUCUACUUAUUUCUAUGAGAUCAAAGUCUUAAGGUCAACUUGCAUGGACCAUGCUGCAGCUUAUCCUUGGUUACACUGGAUAGAUUCCAGUUAAACUAGAACACUCAAGGCCUUGUAUCAACUGAAUAGUUGAAUAGAGAGAAUAAAUACUCUUCUUGAGUAAUAUUUAUGAUAUUUUAUUAGUAUCAACUAAAAGGAUUGGGUGAAGACGUAGCUUAGUUUUCUUACAAUUUACAAUUUGCAAUGGAGCAACAAAAUCCCUUUUAAAUUACGUAGAAGAUAAUCAAUUAUUUUAUAAUUGAUCAUGAAAAUUUUACACGAGAUUGUUAUGAAUGAUUGCUACAAGCCCAUAAUGUAACACUUUUAUCACUCACUCUUGUGAUAGCCUAAAAAUAUUGUUUUCCUUAUAUAUUUUUUCUAUAAAUGCACUUUUCAAACUAUUUUGUUAACCAUCGUUAAUUCUCAGUUAAAAUGGGACAAAAUAGCCCUUUAAGCCCAUGCCAUAAUAUGAUUUUGGUGUCAUUAGCUAGUAAAAAAAAAAAAAAGGGUCAAUCAUUUCAACACUCUAUAAUGUUGUGAGUGAUAAGGCUUGCCAAUUUAUGAAUAAAUAGUAUUCAUCUAAGUCUUUUGAAAAAUUGGGAUAUUGCUAAUAUUUAGAACUAUAAUUUUCUUUUUAAGACCAUUUCCGUUGGUUUCAGUUGUUUGUUCUGUGUCUAUCUCUCAAACAAUGAUGAUGUUUUCUCUAUCAAUCAUUCAUCCUUUUGACUAUUUUUUUCUUAUUUUACAAGUCAUUUUGAGAUAGCUAUUGUUUGGGUACGUAAUAAGUUAUAAUUCUAUUCAUAACAAAUGACAAAUAGAUUAACUCACUCCCGUGAACGCCACACCCACAUGAUUUAAUUUAUUUUCAUGUUUUAAAUUACAAAAAAAAAUUGUUCAUCAAAUAAAUCAUAUGUUUUGUACAAAGGCAAAUGCAUAUGUAAAAUCCCUUCAAACUUAAUUUUCAUUCCAAUUUUGUUUUGGCACAUAUAUAUAUAUAUAUAUUCAUAUAUAUGUAUUCAUAUAUAUAUAUAUAUAUAUAUUCAUAUAUAUAUAUAUUCAUAUAUAUAUAUAUGGUGUAUUUAAAUUUAUAAGGUCUUAGAAUAUUGUAGGGUGUAUUUAAGAUUGAAGGGCAAACAUGUCAUUUACAACUAUGAGAGUACCGAUAUGUCAACAAAGAAGCAUUGAUUACACGUUGUUGCCGAAAAUUCCUUAAUGCAUGUGAUUACCUAUUACAACCGUACUUAUCAUAUCCGUUUCCUCCGCCUUCAUCACCGGCCCAAAUUGGGUGCGUGUAUUGACUCGCCUCGAUUGAGAUUUCUCGUGUAUAAAUUGCUGCGUAGUGUGGGGGAGAAACCACGAUCAGGGUGGAUUUGUGGAGAUGGCGAUGACUGUGAUCAGUGUGGUUGUCGUCAUGUCCUUUGCUCUCAUGGCCAUGGCAGUGAUGGCACAGGGUCCAUGGGACACUGCCGACGCCACUUUCUACGGCGACAUGUCCGGCAAAGCGACCAUGGGUGAGUUCAGCUGCCUCUCCCUCUUUCUACUACUGCUCCUUUGUCGUUGUCUUCCCCUCUCAGUCCAAUGAGCAGGUCACAAGCGCUGCAUGCACGCAGAGGAGAUUUUGCUGCAGUUAAAUCGUGUUCAUGGGUAGAGAAAGAGAGAGAGAGAGAGAGAUCUGACCAUGUGUUUUGUACUGGUACAGGCGGAACUUGUGGGUAUGACAAUCUCUUCGAGCACGGAUACGGGCUGUCGAACACGGCGCUGAGCACGGUGCUGUUCAACGAUGGGGAAAAAUGCGGUGCAUGCUUCGAGUUGAAGUGCGCAGCGGGACCCGACAGGUGCAAGGAGGGGAGCACCAUCGUGACGGCGACCAGCUUCUGCCCGCCGGCACCCGUCAGCCUGUGCAACCCGCCCCAGAAGCACUUCGACCUCUCCAUGGCCAUGUACAUGAAGAUCGCCAAGACAGCCUAUUCGGGCAGCAUCCCCGUGCAGUUCCGGCGAGUACCGUGCGUCAGGGAGGGCGACAUCGGAUUCGAGUUCAGGGGGAACCCCUUCUGGAUCUCGGUGCUGGUGUACAACGUGGCCGGCUCCGGCGACGUGGCGAAGCUGUCGGUGAGGGGAUCCAACACCACCUGGGUGCCGAUGACGAGGUCGUGGGGACAGAGGUGGCAGCUCAGUUUCAGGCCAGAGAUGGUGGGACAGAGCCUUUCGUUCAAGGUGACGACAGGCGACAACAAGACGGUGGAGUCGGUCGACGUCGCUCCAGCGAACUGGCAGUUCGGACAGCGGUAUACAGGCGGCCAAUUCUGAUGAGGAAUUGGAGCAGAAAGCAAGGGAAACUAUUAGUACAUACAAUAUAAGGAAGCCACCUAACCAUGCACGGGCUUCUUCACUGGCUUUUGAAGUCAUAUCUAUUCCUGCACGCAGUUUAAUAUUUGCAUUACCUUGCUUCAGUUUCAGAGUUCCGAUCAUGCAUAUUGUAAUGAAAGCCACGGCUUUUAGUUUCAAAGAAUUCACGCGAAUUCUCUUAAGUCACGCGAACUUCCCCUUCUGUCAUCAUGCACACGGAGUCCCGAAUCGUCGAUCCAAAUGAUUCACGGCGUUAGAGGAAACUGCCACAAUGAGAACUGUCGUGAACCGAAUGAUUCACGGCGUUAGCGGAAACUGCCACAAUGAGAACUGUCGUGAGAAUAACAGGUUGUGUGUUCAGAUCAGGUUAGAUGCAGUCUCAGCAUUGGAUAGAAUACAUCUAACAUAGUCCAAAAGAAAUGGAUAGAAUAGUUCUGAGUAAUAACAAAACUGGCCACGGAUGCACAGGAAAAUUGAUUUCUCGAUAGAGAAUAUCUUAAUGGCUUAAUCUAUGCCUCGAGAUUAUUUUGGAUACGGGAGGAAUAUGACCCACAAGAGUGCAACAUUAUAGCUUACUAAAGAAUGAAUGCUUGACUUUUGGUCAAUUGAUACAAAUAUAAACAUCAUUGUUCAUCAUAAGACGACAACCAUCCUUUGCAAAACGUUAGGGCAACAUAGUUGGACCAGAUCUUAUUAACAAAAAAAAAAUCGAUACAAGCAUCGGACGGGACGGUCAUUAUUUAACUUAAGUCGGAAACCGUCAUUAUUUAACUUAAGUCGGAAACGUUACAGCACCAUUUCUGUGGAAGAAAAGCAAAAUCUUUUCAGACAUCUGAAACUUCCAUGUAGUCAUAAUCGCUAGCAGGAUAGAAAGGGCCAAGGAAGAUAACACUCUGAUGAUUGGGAAAAUAUUGAAGGACCAGCGCACAGCUAAUAACGGAGCAAAUAUGUGUGGCGCCUGAACCAGUUGUAGUCUGGAAGGCCCUGGAUUGGUCCCAUGGCUGCAAUUGCCACAUCCUGCGAAGCCAAGGCGGCACCCAGUAUAAGCUGACCCAUUCUUUGUAUGAUAACGACGCACCAAGUGUCCACAAAUACCAAAGGAAAAUAGACCCGUCCUUUUUCAUAACCUCAUUUUGAAGUGUCAUGAAAACAUACAAGGCCAAACAUGAUUUAAGAUAUACUUGAGAGUUGAAACUCUCCAAUCAGCCUUAUAAUGAAUUUAUAUCUUAAAUAUGUGAGACAGGUGAUUGCGUAACUUAACUUAAAGUGAUGCCUCAUGGUCACGCAAAUUUGGACCCUUAGCUCCCUAAAUUGCUUUUUUAUAUGAAUCUCUGGCAUGCUUAUUGUGAUUGUAAUCAUAAAGCAUCUUUUAGUAAAUGCUAAAAGUACGGCUUUACCUGAUCAAAUAUGAAGCGAUUAGCAACACGCUUAACGGUGCUUGCAUCAACUGCAUCUAUCCUCGCAAAAAGUUCAGCAACUGGGAUUCUACGGCCAUAUGUAAGUAUCUGCAAACACAAAAAAAGUAAGAAGACAUGAAGGAAAGAAAUAUAGAAACUUUGGAAGUAAAAUGACUGAACAAAAAUGCUGCCAGAGAAAGAACUAAUCAUUACCUGACGACCGAUGUCCUCAGCAACAGGGCUGGUACCAUCAAUGUGAAGUUGAAGAGAAGAUUUGAGCUGUAAAAGAUCAUCAAACAGAUGCAGCUUAUAACUUAUUAAAACAAUUCAACAAACAACAUUCCUUGCAUAAAUCCCAUUGGAGAUAUUCUUCAACAAAAAUUUGGAUGUUCCAGAAUACAUGAUACUGUAUUGCAACUUGACAAUCAACCAAAACUUGUGAAUAACUUAUCGUGAAGAAACAUCCAUGUGAUCUGAUCAAACACAUUCGAAUUAUACUGUCCAUAUGCUAUUGUUUAGUGGUUUAUCUACUCCACUUGAACAAAAGAACUUAUUAAUCUUCUUUGAGCCAUUUAAAGAACCUUGUACCCAUGUCUAAUACUCAAAAGGCAAAGGUGUUUGGACCACAGGUCAAACCUUUUACAUCUUAAGCAGCAUAUUUCUGUUAGUUCCUUCUCAACACUCUAAAUCCUGGAAAUUUCCCUCCUAACACUUGCAUUUAGAUACAAUAGGGAUGGUAGCAGAUGCCUCCCUUAGUUAGCAUUCAUAAAUGCCAAUGACAUGCAGGUGAGGCUGGCAACAAAGUUAACAAGCAGUGGCUUCAAAGUUGCCUUUAUACUCGCAACUUGCUGCACGACUGAUGCAUUCCAAGAAAGAUGUACUUCCUAGACAGAAUAAUGAUCAUGUCCCCAUUUAUUAAAGCAAUUUGACCAUCAUAUGCUUAAUACAUGAUUUUUCAGUUACCUUAGACAAUAACAAUGAAAUGUUCAUGUCUCACAAAAGAGAUAUUGUUUAUACUGUUUCAUGGAAUAAUUUUGCCCACAAGAAUUAUAUUAACUGCACUGAUAAGCUGCAGCAAGCAAUCUACAUGCCACAAAAGAUUCAAUAAUACAACUUCAUCUGAGGCAUGUACUGUCCCAAGUUUCCUCACUGAGAGUAUCUAACUGAUUUAUCAUAUUUGAUAUUUUACAGAAGAGUAUCCUGAGUUUCAACAGUGUCAUUGUACAUUAACUGAGAAAGCAUAUCUGAAUCACUUAAUUACCUGAUUUCGUGCACGGGUCACAUCAGCUUCUGAAACCCUGUAGGACAGCUUGCUUAUCUCAGACAUAAUUGCAUAGGCCAAAUCAUCCAAGCAAUCCGGCUGAUCAUGAAAAGUGAAGAAAAUGUCAGCUGUCAAGUGAGAUUUAUCUGCCACGCAGAAGGCAUGUUCCCUGUAUUAUAAGCUAGUAUACAACAGGAUCCAUAUUCCAUUUCAUUGAUGUAAUCACCAUUGAGCUAGCAAUUAAUACAAACAUUAUAAUAGAGUCUAAGUAUAUACAAGCCAAUAGCAGAGACUCAUGAAAAAGGCAGGGAAAACGGAAUGGCAUUAAAAUAUCAUGCAGUAUCUGUGAAAGAAAACAGAACCAAGGGAAUUAUGAUUUCCAAAGUUUCAUUCUGAAAGAGUGCUGCACACCAAAGGACAAUUUUAUACAUAUGUGUGUGCAUUUGUACACACCCAAAAAUAAAUGUGGAUAUCCUUUAAAUAUGCUAUCAAUUUGUUUAUUGUGUAAUGUAUCACAACAUAUUUCAUGACGUCAUGUGCAAUGCUAAUUGAUCACCUCACUUAGCAAAUGAAGCAAAACACAGCAAAGCGGAGUUAAAUAUCCUCAUUGAUUAGGUACUAUGACAGUAUUUGCAGUAGCUCCUAAUCCAUCAAAACCAUUCAUAAGCAUAAUCGCUAUGUACCUUUAGAAAUGUCAAUAUUCACAAGUUCUCUUCUUCAGAUGAAAAGAACUCAAAAUGUCAAUAAAUUCAUAACCAAUAGCUCUGAAGCAGUAAGUUUCUGCAAAUAAUCCUGUGCUAUAAUUUUCCCGAAUCACUGAGAACAAUAAAAUUUAUGACACUCUAAUAGAUUGGAUUGAGUCCAAACCAAACAAUAACAGGUGCUAAAAGAUGUCCUCUCUUGAAACCAAUCAUAUUUACUCAAUAAUCAUUAAAAAUCUCAAUAUUUCACAUAUUUCAAGUACAUAACAAAAAACUGACUAACCUUAGCAAUUGCAUAAACACCAAAGAGACCAGUGUCUUUGUAGUUUGUGUUAAAGGCCAUCAUGCUUUCGGCGAUCUCAUUGAUGGCAAUCCUCUGAGACAGCUCUGAACUGAUUAAAGUUGAGGUACACAAUCAAUACAGGGCAAAACUUGGAAAGUUAAACAAUUUCUGUGUAAAUAUAAGAUGUAACAAUGAACAACUCACCCCAUGUGCUUUCCACUGCCAGUAUUCUUGUUCCAAGAACCUAGCAUAGACUGCAUUACCAUUAAAGCAAUAGAAUCUGGAUCUAUCCAGGAUGCUCCACUAAAUGCAACCGCAAAUUGUGCAAGUGGAAUGUCAUCAUCUAUUAUCCUAACCUGGAUACAAAAAACUUUAAUUGGCAAGAAGACUCUUGUGCAAAGAUAACAUGUCUAAGAGAGAGUAAAUGGACAAACAUUAAAAAUUGGCAUUCCCACCUCAGAACCAGUAAAAAUAGCUGGUUCCUUUGCAACCAACUGGGAUGCUGUCGUAGGAUCAUUUGACAGAUUUGCGAACAGCUUUUUAACCUGGUCAACUAUAUCCUCGUGCUUAACAGCACCAGCAGCUGAGAUGACCUAAACCAUUAUAAAUAUAAAACAUUAGCCAUUUGCUGCAAUAAUUAAAGUCACACCAAUCAAGACUGGAUAGAUCAUCAAACAAGGAGGCACCUAAGUUAGGUAUGUACAGAAAACAAGAAUGAUGACUUAAUCUGGCCUAAUAAAAAACAUACCAUUCUAGGGGCAGUAUAAUGUGUUGAUAUGUAAUUCUUAAGAUGCUCUUUAGUAAUUGUCUUGAUGUUCUGAGCAGGUCCUAGUAUAGUUCUGCCAAGUGGAGUGUACUGGAAAGCAGUUGCAUGCAGAUGAUCAAAAAUAACUUCUUCAGUUUGUCCCUCCACCUACAUGAGACAGAAAGAAAUGAUAUUAAAAUAUUGCAUGAACAAAAGCUCUAUCCAGUAAAAGUCAACUAUAGUAUACUAAAGUUCUCCUGAUGUAAGUGCUUCACAUGAUGCCAAAAGCAAAAAAAUCUAGGCAAUCUAUAUUUCCAUUAAAUUACAAUUUCAUAACGCCAUAAAAGAAAUUCUAACCUAUGCGGAACUUAAAUUCCAGUAAACAGUUUCAAAACCUGGCUAUGAGAUAAUUAAAAAAAAAACUGAUCAAAGGGGUCCAAAGAAAGAAAAACAAAAAGAAAGAAACAAAUUGCAGAAAAUUCUGCAAAACAUGAAUAUUUCCCCAGUUUUGAGACUGUGGCUAGUAACACAUGCUAAUUAAGUGUUACGGAUCAAGUAAAAUAAGUUAUCUCACUGUUAACAAGGUGAAAGAAACACAUAAAUGGUUUAUAGGUAGUAUAAUUUACACCAUAUAUACCAAAUUUACAUGGGAAUGGUGUCUCACAAAGAAAACUCAAUGUUAAUUUAAUAUUCCUCAGUAAAAUCAAAGAGGGUUGCAAGGCAGAAGUAGCAAAUCAACACAACAACUACAAAAAAAGGUCCGGAGCAACAAAUGGUUACGCUCAGUCCACAGUCAGGAGAUUUUAGCUAUGAGCCAAAUGAACCAGCAUCCUGCUACAUCAGUUUUAACAACGGAAGAUUUCUAGCCUAUGUGAUGGUAACAUAAUUAGCAAACUUAUGCACAAGUGGCAUAAAAACCUAAUUAAAUUAAGAGCCAUAAAAGGUGAUAUAAGAUCAAUAAGAAUCAAAAUGCUUCAUUUCUUUGUCAACUUCUAUUAUUGACAAUAAUAGCUAUCAGAGCCUCUCUCCACUUUUCUAAAUCCAUCUGUUGUACAAAACUUCACAUGCCAGCCUGAUAGGAAUGAUGAUCCUGGUACCAUGUGAUUAGAAAUACUUAUAAGUACUGCUUUUUGAUCGGCAGCCACCAGUCCAAGAGAUUUUCAAUUGUAAGUACUGUUUUUUUAUAAGUUAUCUAAUGUCAAAGAUAAGAUUUUGUUGCCAACAAAUUAACUCAAAUUAGAACAUGAGAAAAAAGAAAUAUAAUAGAAAUUAUUGUUCUGCAUCUGUUAACGAAAUAUAAUCAUAUCUCCAACUUUAGAGAGAUUUUAGCCACCAUGAAAGACCAACCCAUGCACUUGUCCUCCUUGCCUCCCCCGACUCCCAGUGCACUUCUAUUUUCAUUUUUCUCCAAGAGUUACAAUACAAGAAAAAAUCUAAUGGCAGUACUUAAAACAAUAAACUGAUUAAGCUAGAGACAGUAAACAACCAUAGUUAGCCUAAAAUAAGAAUUGUGAGUUAUCGACGUUGGUUGGAUAUUGACGUUUUAAUACGAUCAAAAGGAGGUGAAUAUUAGAAACUAAUACCUCUUCCAUCUCCCUGAGGAUUACAUCCCUCUCCCUCUCAAUGCGCUUCUCAUCAAAACACGAGUUCUGAAGUAUGUCUGCAAGGAUUUCCAGCGCUUUGGGCACAUCCUUAUCCAACACCUUGGCGUAGUAGGUGGUCUGCUCCCUCGAUGUGUACGCAUUCAGAUGCCCGCCCAUGUUCUCAAUCUCCUCCUCCAGCUGUCGCACUGUCCGCGAUUCGGUGCCCUUGAAGAUCAUGUGCUCCAAGAAGUGCGCGGUCCCGUUGGUCUCAUCGGUCUCGAAGCGGCUCCCGGCGUCGAUCCACACGCCGACCGUGGCGGUGCGGGAGGCAAGAGUAGACUCGGUGGAGAUGCGCAGCCCGUUGGGGAGGGUGGUGACGCGGGUCUCCGGUGCGGCCAGGAUGGGGGUAUGGUCGGCAAGGGUGGGGUGGGGGGAGGCGUAGCGGAGGAAGCGGGGGUCGGGAUCAUCGAGGCGCUUGAUCUUGGAUCGGACGGCCUCGGCGAGGCGAUCGUAGUGCAUCACGGGGGGUUUGGCCAGGGAGGGAGCAUCGGCGGCGGGGUUUGCGAGGGCGGAAACUGCAGCGGUGGAGGCAAAUCGGCCGGAGACGAGGAGGGGGCGGCGAGAGAGGGUGAGAAGCUUGCGCAGCGCCAUUGCUAGGGAUUGGAUUUGGCGGAAGGGAGAAGGGGAGUGUGGAGAGGGAGGCGGGUCGAAUCGUCAAACUACGUGAGGGAGGAAGAGGAAUUAGGUCUGCACACAUGACUCUGCAGGAACCCACGUUUACACCAGGCAGUGAAGGUGGACCCCGCUAUUAUGAAAGUUUUGACGUGACGGGGUGCACGAACUUGCCAGUGAGCGUACGAAAUUAGAGAGGUAGUGGAACACCUACCCAACUGUACCAUUCCGGAGGCUUGUCAAGGGUGAUGUGGUUAGUCUUAACACUCGAUACAGGAGGGACCCACCUGCCCUGACUGACAUCGAGCGUUGUCUAAAACCUGAAGGGGUUACAUGUAACCCUUCUUGCGCACAUGUUGACUUCCGUUUCUCGCCUACCCUUUCUCCUCUCCGCUACCGCCCUCUUCUCCGUCGGCUCUCCGUCCAGAUGCCUUCGCACCACCACCGAGAAACUAAUCGAUGCUGCUGCUGCUGUUCAAUCCACUCUUCACCACCACCCCAUCUGACCACAUCUGAUCAACUCCUCCAAGCCCUGGCCAGCCACCUGCUCCUCCAAUCCCAGAAUCCUCCCACUCUUUCCGACGGUCACUGCCUUAAGCCCCAGCAACACCCACCACCACUGCAUUCCUUCUUCCAAAUUCAUCAACUUGGUGAUGAUCAUCUUCCUCCUGCUCCUCCUCAUUAUCAUCGUCAUGAACAGCAGCAGCAGCAGCAGCAGUUCUAUCAGCAUCAAGCUCAACCUCUUAUCGAAUCCCUCCUCCGCCGCAUCGCCGCCCUCGAAUCCUCUUUCCCCCAUCUCUCCUCGCCCAUUUCGUCUCCUUCUCCUCUUCCUUGUCAUGGACGACAGCGACAAGAAAGACCUUUGACCCCAUCACCGCCGUCUUCUUUUGCUUUGUCGCUUCGAGAUUUGGCGGCGCGGAGAAUCCAAGCCUCGUUCCGCCGUUUUCUUCUACGGAGAUCCCAGACACUCCGCCACCUGAAGGACCUCGCCGCCAUGAAAUCAUCAGUCGCCGCCUGUAGAUCCGCGCUCUCCGACGAGACCCACGUCGAUCCCAGAUACCUCACCGAGAAAGCCAUGGAUCUUCUCCUUCGACUGGAUGCCAUCCAGGUGAGUUUGAGGAAAGCUAACUCCUCUCCUGGAUUUCUCUUUGCUUGUUGCUUCGUUAAUGGCAUUUUUCGUGGGUUUUCUUGGCUUGCAGAGCGGCGACCCGAUGGUUCGGGAAGGGAAGCGGUCGAUCAGCAGAGAACUAGUCCGCAUGUUGGAUUUCAUCGAUAAGGUGGUAGUCAAAGGGCACCAGCUGUCUCUGGACGCGAUCGAGAUCACUGGGAAUUGCGGAAUCGAAAGAGAUUCUGUGGAGGACAUGAGAAGAGAAAUUGUAGGAACCGAGGAAGUUCCGAAGCUUGCCAAAAAAGUGAGCUUUUUGGAAGACGGGAAGAGACCAAGGUUCUCUCUUAGCGGCCUCCACCAGCUUGAGGAGGAACUCAUCGAUGCUGGCAAUCAAACUGCUCCACCGGAGAGCUUGGGCGGGGAAAUUACGAGCACCGAAUCAAGCGAUCAUCUGGGACCAGAAAGGUUUCAUGAGAUCAGCAAUGGUGACUGGAGCUCGGAAAGUUCCAUAGAGAAUGGUGGCAAAUAUGUGAAGGGGAAGCAUUUCCAGAAUCAGAAUGGAAAGUUAGGCCUCUCUGCUCCCUUGCCUCUGCAAAUGGAGCUGCGGAAAACUUAAUUCCAUCUUUGGUAAUGAAUGCAUCAAUCUUGAAGUCAAGAGAUUAGAACUGUUUGCUUCAUCCAUCUUUGGUCCUUUGCCUACUGGAAGUUGGGGUUUGGAGAAGAGCUGCUUCUGCUUGGUAUGUUUGUUCCUUCUUGUGCUAUGGUAUUGUCUUCUAAGAAUUGUUAGAAGUGUGAAGAUUAGCAUGCUUCUAAUUAUCUGAUAUCUUUGUUCCUUAUUUGCUUCUAUACUCAGAUCCAUAAUGGCUACUGUUUGGUUAGUGUGACAAUGCUUCUGUUUAGUUAGGUCCAUUUAUACUUGAUUGCUUCUUGUGAUAUUUCAAGAUAUCAUUGGUGAUGUCGCAUUAGAAUGAUUAAACAUUAGAUAACCAAAUUAUUGGGAAUUAAGUCAACAUAGACACUGGAUAUCUGAUGAUUUAAAGAAUCUGAAUUUUUAUAACUCAGGACUGACUAGAGUUCAAAUUUUGAUUGACAUCUUCAAGUACAAAACUGCAAUAAUUAUCAAUGUUCCGUGUCGAACAAAUGAAGGAAAAGAAGUUCUAGCAAGAACUUGGGAAAGCAUCAGUCAGUGAGUGAAGAUUCAAAAUACUAGAUAGAGCUGUGAAAUUGUUGGAAAUGACACUGUGCCAUCUUUAGUGUCUGGAAUCAAAUGAAACUACCAAUUUCUUUUGUUCUGAAAUGUUUUGCAGCUAUGAGAAGCAAAGUAAUGCUGUGAAAGAUUUAAAUGCCACAUGAAUCAUAUCAGAGCAUUAAAGUGAAACAAGUCCAUCUUCAGUAAUGUGAGAAAGACCAAGCACACUAUGGUAAGAACAAGAGCAUCUCCAGUUCUGACAGAUAAAUAAAUACAUGUGAUCCCAAUAGUUUCCAAACUUGUUGGUAAUAGGAGGGAAAAAUUAUUGUCCAACACUACUGUUUGAGCUACAUGUUCCAAAUCUGAUACUGUAAUAUGCACUUAUGAAGUGCCCAAAGGUAUCUGAGGAAAAAAUUUGCUACCAUUUCUCACACCUGCCCAAGUUUGAAUAUUAGGCUCAAGUGUGCAGGCCAAAACCCUACUGAAGCAGCAUUUCCAAAAGCUUCUCUUCACAUUAUCUGAACAGGAAAUCAUUUGUAGAUUUCUCUAUUACUUGCUAACUUUUGUAGAUUUCUUAGUAUUCUAAUCAGAAAGGAAUAACUUUGAGAAAUAUUGUAAAACAUUAGUAAUUCAGUAAUGUAUGGAAACACCCCUUUUUAUGCUGAGUCCCACAUUUUGCAUUGGUUAAUGUCAUCUUGCAUUACCACAUGGUAUGCUAAGUUGGAACUAAGUCUUUCCUUCAUUUUAACCAUCAGGAUCUUUUAUUUUAGAUGUAGCACAUCAAGAUCAAACCAGCCCAGCAUAUAUGAGACUACCUUGAGGCCAAGUCAUUUAUCUCCCAUCUCCCUUUUGUUACAGGUUUCUACAUGGUGGGAAACAAUUACAGGCAAAAAUGGUAAAAGAAAUUUGCCUAUAGGUUUCUGAUUGUGUUGGAGAAGAAAUGGAACAAAUGAUGACAUGGUGAGAAGGCAAGACAAUAAAAACAGUCUUAAGCAAAAGAAAAAUUAGGUGCACAUUUGAAUAUACUGUGAAUUAAGACAAAUAUAAAGCAAGAAAAACAUGGCCUCUUAUUUUAGAGGACAAAUAAAGAACCAGAAGAAAAUGAGAAUUAAAAGGUAAAUUGACCAAUAAACUCAAAAUAAGAAGAAAAGCUAAUCUGCAUGCUUCAAUAGGGAAUACGAUACUGCCUUCAGUAUGUAUAAGUCGAGGCAUCAUACUUUGUUUGAGCAAUUGUAUGUAUGUAUGUUUUAAAUUAAAAUAUAUAAAGAUAUAAAAUACUUAAAAUAUAUAUUUUUAUAUUCUUAUAAUUAUAAUGAGUUUUCAAAGGUUAUCAACAUCAUUUAGAGUUUUACCUAAGAUUCAAUUGAUUGUUAAUUGAUGGAAAUUAACCACAAUGAUAAAUACACAAUAUCUUAGAUUUUGUAAGAAUAUAUAUUAAACUCAAAUUUAGAGAAAAAUAUAAUAUUUUGGAGGGAUAAUACGCAUACACAAAUAAAUAAAUAAAUAUAAUUGGGCUUUGGCGGAUGGGCCGGCCCAUGAAUACUUGAUGUCUUCUUCUCCCUCUCCCUUCUCUCUCUCUUCCCACGGGUUCUACUGCGAGGGGUUGAGGUCAUUGCUAAUCCCUCGGACGCGUGGUAACUGUAGAGGGAAACGGAAGCAAGCGAUAUUGAUGGAAGGGAUAGCCUCGAUCGCUCUGCUGCCCUGCGGUUCCAUCUCCGGCCAUUUCAUCCGCUUGCCCGAUUCCGUCUGCUACGGCCUCCAUGGAAUCGGUUGGUGAAAUCGUAUCCCCGUUCCGCUGCGUAAACCCCACGCUCUCAUUUCUUCCUGCUGCAUUUAACAUCAUUUUUCCUCCGCUGCCAAGUUCUUGUUUCGAAGUAUUAUGUUUUGGGGCUGAUUACUUAGAAAUGCGUUCUUUUGAAGAACAUUAAAGGCGAAGAAAAAGAAAGAAACAUAAAGAUUACAUUUUUUUGGGAGUGAAUUCAUAACAUGAAAUCAUAAUAAGGUGAACCCAACGCCACUCUCAUCGCAAAUAAAAGGUCAUACCUUUCCAUUUCAUCCAAAGAAACAGCGCCUCGUGAAAAUUCGGCACUUACGAGCAAUUUGAAUAUCGUUCUAUUUCCAAGUUUGAGUUUUGACCACAUUGAUUUUGGGUUUAUGAUUAGUAUGAGGUUGAUGAAGUGAAAAAUGAGCACAUGAAACCUUUAUAUUCGGGUGAAUUCCCAAAAAAAGCCCCUAAGGUUGGGAACUUCUUGCAGAGUAACCCAACUUUAAAAAUUUCCCAGAUAGCAACCCUGGCCAUGUAAUUUAGUAUGCAAACCUUUUUUCCAGAAUUCGCCCUACAUAUGCUGCUUAAGUUAUGCUCAACCAAUUGUCAUUUAGUAUGUGAAAUGUCUCUUGUAUGAGAACUAGUCAGCUUAAUAAUAAUGAUCUGAAAUUUAAUUUGUGUUAUUUCUGCUGUUUAGAAUUGUCAUGCGAGAGAGAGUGCAGCAGAGGUGAAGAUUAUCGCUUGAUUAAGCUCUCAAUAAUUGACUAUGCUGUGAGAUCAGAUGCUUCUCUUUCCAUACCUUGCGACUGUAGAUAUUCUUUAUUGCAUGGAAUUUCUCUAAUGUUCUUUCCUCAUGGUACACACAACAGAGCAGGAAAGAAAAAGUGAUUGUAGUGGAAUGCAGGGGACAUGAUUGUGCUCGCUUCCAAAAUGUUGAUCAUGCCCAUGGGUAAGUGGUUGUGGUAGAGUUCUGACUUGUUUUUUAUGUAUACAUGCAUAAAUAUACUUUUUAACAGCUUAAUCUCUUAUUUUGCAGUAGUUUAAGAACUGAACUGGUUUAUUCCAUAUUCUAAACUUAUAGAGAUGUUUGUCUUCUGCUACACCAGUCUAUGUACAUUGUGUACCUCCUACCUCCUUAACGAGGUUAGAGGUGUGUAUGGUGUGGCCUUCCUAUCUUCUGUCUUCUUUUAACUAAACUUAAUUAGAGACCCAUUUAGUUUUAUUGAUUGUGUUUUGCCUAUGGAAGAGUUUUUUAGAUGUCCAUUGAUUGCCUAAUUCUGCCAUGAGUAUGCUUUGGCACCAUCAUUAGGGGGUUGGCAUCCAAAUGUCUUGCUGAAUCUUCUCUGAUGCCUUCUUGGUUUUUAGUUAUACUUUUCUAACUGACCAUAUGUUGAUGGUAAAGGACUUGGAUGGACAAUCGGAAUUUUAUAUCAUGUGAAUAGAACUUCCUCACUUGUUAUUCCACUGUUUUAUCCUCUUUCGAAGAAGACAAAUAAGCAAGAUGGAGUAUAUGUAUUAGCAAAAGUGAUCUGUGAAAUAUUUUAUCCUCCAUGGCAAGCAGAUAGGUUCUUUAAAUUUCGAGAAUUCUUUCAUUACAAUACAUGAUAGAAAAACUAUGUAAUUAAAAGGGCACUUCUUGUUGUGCUUUUCUGACUGAAUGGAAUAUCCUCUGGUGCCACAUAUACCAUAUAAUGAAGCUUUUUUGUUUCAAAUCCUUAUGAGCAGCCUUAGUGACCAAUUUUUGUGCAGCCAACAUGAAUCCCUUUUUCACAAUGUUGAAAUGCUAUUUCUUUGAUAUUUUUUCCUAUUAAUUGGGAUGCUAUAUAUAAAAAUUAGUAAAAACAGAAAGAUGUCUUUGUGAUACAUAUUCUUGAAAUUUUAUAAUAAUGAGUUCAUGAUACAUCACUGCUGCAGGUGGGAAAAUGAUGUUGUUGAUAUGAUAGAGCAGAAGCAUGGUAAACAAAAGAUAUCAGUGUCUUUCGAGUGUGAAACACUUAAGGCAGACAAUGCUGCUGAAGAGCACCUCAAGAGCUACAUGCCCAAUUUAGUUGGACUUGGUGCUGUUGGUAGGUAAUAUGACUUGAAUACUUGCUAGAAUAAUAUUAAAACUUGAACUUGCAACAACACUAAAUGUAAUUUUUUUUUUUCCAGAAAAUAAAUUGUAAAGUUGUUGAACCGAAAUGGUAUUGCAGGGAAAGUUAACUGCUAGAAACUGAAUUCACCUAAUUGCUAAAGUUCAUAUCUACUUUCUUUCCACAACUUUUUGCCCAUUUUCCAGUUAUAUGCAUGGGAGUCCAGUCCAAGUCUCUACCAUUUUGGUAGCACCCACUUUUCCUUUCUACCAAAAAUUAGUAGGAACUACAAGAUGCUCUACUAGUUUAUUUUUCCAUCCUUUUUUUAUCACCAAAAAUUAUUAUUUUUUAAUUCCAAUUUUGAAUUGGAGUACAGGAAUAUGUUAUUGUAUUUCUAAGUUUACUCAUUUUCAUCAGUUAUGCACAGUCUUCACAAUCUGAAGAGUCAAGUCACUGUCACCUUCCUUUCUAACAAGAUGUGCAAUUAAGUGAUGAAGAUGAUUUUGUAGUAGAUAUAUGUACUUCUAUUACCUACCUUCUUCUUACAAUGCGGUGAUCAAAUUGCAGUUAACGUUGGUCGGAUGAGCAUUUCUGGCCUUGAUUUCAAAGGGGAUAAAGAAUCCAGUGAGUGUGAUGAUGAAUGAUAGGCAUGUUAUACAGAUGCAUGCAACCUGGUGGAUGUGACAAGAGCAUGUUGAACUUUAAGGAGCUGGUACUGUUGGUGUUGCUGAUAUUUCUCGUCGAAACAUCAAAUCUAACAUUUUAUUUUGUUGUUCAACCCUCAAAUUUUGCUUCGUUUUCUUGCCAUUAUGUGUUGCAGCAGAUGUUCACAGAUUGGAUCUAAUUGCAGAUUUCUUAGUUUUAGAUUUGAGCAUCAGAUUCCUUCAAAUCAUAAAGUUACUAAUGUGACAUACUUUAGUAAGUUUGCCUUCAAGUUAUGAAGCUUGCUAAUUGGCAAUCUCAUGUUAUUGGUAAUUACCUAAAAACUAUAUAAUAUAAUUUUAUCAAAUAUAAUUUCUUAAUUAUCAAUCACAUCUUUAUAUUUUAUGAUCUCUUAUUUCGUGCAUUGAUGUUCAAACUUUAGUUGUAUCGUCUCGUGAUGUUACAAAGAGGAAAAUAUCGUUCGACAUCGAAAUAUUUUUAAGAUAUUAAAAAAAAUUAAAAUAAGAUUAUAAGUAGUAAAAAUAAUAAUAAAAGAUUAUUGGUCCAAGUUUGGGGAUAUAUAUGUCAUAGAAAGAAUAAGAAAUAUGUGAUGGCCCUAAAUUUUUGAACGAAGGUUAUCUUUAGAUCUUGACCGUCCAUUGGAUGAUUUUGAUCAUGAUGCUUUCGUGUGGAGAUCGCUAUGCGUCGAUCGUAAAGGAUAAGAAGAUGAUAAAGGCUGUUUUAAGUUUUUGAGGGCGCGCCUUGGCCGCGAACGCUCCCAAGAUGACCACGACCAUGGCGGAAACCCUAAUUCCCAACUGCACUCGGGGAAUUCCAUCAAAUUUCUCGAGAUUGAGACCCAUUUCUGCUACAAGGCGACAACUUCCGUCUUUCAUUUGUUACAGUCUCGAAUUCUGCGACCUAAAGGGAAGAUUUGACUACCCGAUUGGAUCAUUUCGAGCCCGGAAAUGGGUGACGCGUGCGGCGGCGACGUCUUCUUCCAUGGUCGAGGACGCGAAAGAGGAUGACGAGCCCAUGAGCAUCGGUAACUUGCGUCGUUUCAUCGAUCUCAACGUUGGGAAGUGGAACGGAUCCUUCUACGUGAGUAGAAUGAUUGCUUUGCCCUCCUACUUCUUGAACGUUUCGGUUGUUGGUUGAUGCGUUUCGGAGCUCCUCGCAUGCAGCAAUUCGAUGGUGAUGGAAACCUACUGCAAACUGUGAGUACGAAGCUCUCAGCGAGUUCCUAUGGGGAGGAUGAACUGAUCAGUCUCAUUCAAACGUGAGCUCCCUUGCCUUUAAAGUUAACUUCUUUUUUAUGAAUUUGUUGGUCUUGGACCUAAAGAAUAUAAAUUUCUUUGGAAAUGUUUAUUUCUUUGUAAGAAUUGUUUGUCUUGUGAAUGAAUGAUUUUAUUGGCAAAGUUGUUACCUCUUGAUUGAUACUGAGAGUUAUUGUAUGCUCCUCUUGUUGAGAAUGCUCUUAAUGUUCAUGGGAGGAGUUCAUGAUCUUGCAUUUCACUUUUAUUGAUUAUUGUAAGGUCUGUUCAGAAAGACAUACUAAGUUGAUUGUGCAGCCUCAGAUAAUUUUGAGAGUCAGGCUCCUUAAAUCUUAAACAAGUUGAAUAUUUCUUGGGCAUAUGAUUUCUAGGAGCCUCUAAGUAUAUGCAAUAUUGUCAAUUAGCUUUUUAAGUGAAUCACAAAAUAUACUCGUGAUAAAUAGAAAUGCGUACAAGAAGUAUUAAGGAAAAUGUGGUUGUUCUCUGAGCUAGAGAUUGGGAGCUGACCAGGGCCUCUUUUUUUCAAGUAACAACCUCCGCCACCAAGGUUCUCAAGAAAAUAAUGAUCUGCUAAGGUUAGGAGAAGAGGGGCUGGGACUGAUCCUAGCUGGCACCUCUCCAAUGCUUAAGUCAAGAUGGGAUUCAAGUAAAUGUUUAGCUGUUAAGGUAAGGAGUUGCUUUGCUUUGUUGAAAUCAAUUCAUUUAUAUAUGGUUUUUACUGACUAUGUGUCAAGGCUUAGGAUGUGACCCUUGUCCGGAUGAAAGCCAUGAUAGGAAGAUCCUAUUGUGGUUUUUGUCAGGUGUGGGUUGCCAAGUAUCACACAGAGGGUAGAUCCAAAAAGGGACCCAUCAUGUGCCCUAAUCAAGAAGUGUAUCAGUUCUUUUACUGGUUUUAUUGAAAAUAAUCCUAAUAUUCCAGCACUGUUGAUCAAUCUCUUUUGAGAUCCUAAGUCUGUUGGUUUACCAAUCAGUACUUUCUGCCCUUUUUUUUUCCUUUUAGCAACUUGAACCAAAGCACUUGAUAUCUUUACUUUUUGGUGCACAUCUGAAGCCAAUAUGUAUGCAUUGUUUUGGUGUAUCUUAAUUUUCCACUGAGAUUUUUUUAGUCAAGAUAAAUUUUCAUGUGCAUGUGAUGAUAUUAGUUUAGUGGCACUAAGUUGCACUGUAUUCUGUUUCCAGGCUGUACAUAAAGCAGCCUUCUUCCAGCACAUCAAUUGCAGGAUAUGAUGAUGAACCUGAAUGGGCGGAGUAUAAGAUCAAAGAGACAAAUAUGUUUACCGUCGACAAGUAUCAACAGG
rnacentral:lncRNA from 1 species